rnacentral:ncRNA from 19 species
CUUCUCGGUGGAUCAUCCGGUCCGCCACCGCCACGACGGCGACAGGGGAGGAAGCCGGUGCGAAUCCGGCGCGGUCCCGCCACUGUGAGCCCACCCCGCCAGGGUCGGGUGAGUCAGGAACUCCCGCCGUCAGACACCACCCGGGG